GGCCUAUAUUUAGGUAUUUUAUUAGGAGAGUUCUACAUGAUAUUAUUAUUGAGAAUUAAUAAAAUAUGAGAAUUUGUUCUCUUCAUUUUAGAUAAUUUGUUGCUCUAGAGAAUAUUUUGUUUAUCAAUUGUAAAUUUGUUUCCCUAUCCUUUGAGAAUUUAUUUAUCACCCCUUUGUUCUCCAAAAUUCUAUUAGUUCUACAACAAUUUGGUAUCAAAGCAAGGUAUCUAAUUGUCU
rnacentral:misc_RNA from 1 species